GGGCGGGUAGCGUAGUGUUCCUAAGCUAUUCAGCCUUGCUUUUUUUCAGCGCUUAACGAAAGACCUGGGUUCAAAUCCCAGCCCGCCCA